UCAUGAGGGAAGAAUGUAAAUGACCACUGCAGGAAAUAGCAGGAGCAUCUACAAGUAGUUAUAGAAGAUAUGGAAGAAGAGCUGUAACAAAGUUUUAACGGAAAUCAACAAGGAUCACUUGUGAAAUAUUAAUUUCCGCAAGCAUCAACAAGAGCCAAUAAAUUUAAGAAAACAACGACAGAUAAAUACUAAAGUACUAUAACUAAUCCGCAAAUAUAAAUUUCUUAUUUUUCUCGUAGCAUCAGUUGUUAGGGUCACAACGUUGAAAAAUGAAGUGCUAUUCAAUAUUCUCUUAUUUUACUCAUGAUAGAUUGUCCAAAGAUUCAUUGAGCUAGUUGAUUAGAAGCUUUAUGUCACUAUGACAAAAAGCACCUAGAGCAACUUCAAACUUACAUUCUCAAUUUGUCCACAAAAACCAGUCACUUCUGCAUAUGCAGGUUAAAAUGAUAUAUACACAUAUAACUUACUUCAUAUUCCAUCCCCGCUCAAAAAAAAACAAGGACAAGAUUCUGAAGCAAGAACAAAAGAAAAGAGAAACAAUGUUGAAGCAAAGCUGCAAAGGCACACAGUUUCUAGCCCAAGCACACGAAAGUCAACAAGCAUGGUAGUGGCAAACAAUUGAAUCGGACAUUCAGUGAAAUUGAGAAAAUGAAGGAUU